ACGCUGGCGGUAGGCCUAACACAUGCAAGUCGAGCGGUAGAGAGAAGCUUGCUUCUCUUGAGAGCGGCGGACGGGUGAGUAAUGCCUAGGAAUCUGCCUGGUAGUGGGGGAUAACGUCCGGAAACGGACGCUAAUACCGCAUACGUCCUACGGGAGAAAGCAGGGGACCUUCGGGCCUUGCGCUAUCAGAUGAGCCUAGGUCGGAUUAGCUAGUUGGUGGGGUAAUGGCUCACCAAGGCGACGAUCCGUAACUGGUCUGAGAGGAUGAUCAGUCACACUGGAACUGAGACACGGUCCAGACUCCUACGGGAGGCAGCAGUGGGGAAUAUUGGACAAUGGGCGAAAGCCUGAUCCAGCCAUGCCGCGUGUGUGAAGAAGGUCUUCGGAUUGUAAAGCACUUUAAGUUGGGAGGAAGGGCAGUAAAUUAAUACUUUGCUGUUUUGACGUUACCGACAGAAUAAGCACCGGCUAACUCUGUGCCAGCAGCCGCGGUAAUACAGAGGGUGCAAGCGUUAAUCGGAAUUACUGGGCGUAAAGCGCGCGUAGGUGGUUCGUUAAGUUGGAUGUGAAAUCCCCGGGCUCAACCUGGGAACUGCAUUCAAACUGACGAGCUAGAGUAUGGUAGAGGGUGGUGGAAUUUCCUGUGUAGCGGUGAAAUG
rnacentral:rRNA from 1 species